rnacentral:rRNA from 1 species
AAAUGAAUUGACGGGGGCCCGCACAAGCGGAGGAACAUGUGGUUUAAUUCGAUGAUACGCGAGGAACCUUACCCGGGCUCGAACGGUGCAUGAAUGUAAUAGAGAUAUUGCAGCUAUUUAUAGCAUGUAUCGAGGUGCUGCAUGGUUGUCGUCAGCUCGUGCCGUGAGGUGUCGGCUUAAGUGCCAUAACGAGCGCAACCCUUUUCGUUAGUUACCAUCAGGUUAAGCUGGGGACUUUAGCGAGACUGCCGCCGUAAGGUGUGAGGAAGGGGGGGAUGACGUCAAAUCAGCACGGCCCUUACGUCCGGGGCGACACACGUGUUACAAUGGUAGGUACAGAGGGCUGCUUUUCGGUGACGGAAUGCUAAUCUCGAAAACCUAUCUCAGUUCGGAUCGGAGUCUGCAACUCGACUCCGUGAAGUUGGAUUCGCUAGUAAUCGCGCAUCAGCCACGGCGCGGUGAAUACGUUCCCGGGCCUUGUACACACCGCCCGU